rnacentral:rRNA from 1 species
GAUGAACGCUGGCGGCGCGCCUAACACAUGCAAGUCGAACGGCACCUAUCUUCGGAUAGAAGCGAGUGGCGAACGGCUGAGUAACACGUGGAGAACCUGCCCCCUCCCCCGGGAUAGCCGCCCGAAAGGACGGGUAAUACCGGAUACCCCGGGGUGCCGCAUGGCACCCCGGCUAAAGCCCCGACGGGAGGGGAUGGCUCCGCGGCCCACCAGGUAGACGGCGGGGUGACGGCCCACCGUGCCGACAACGGGUAGCCGGGUUGAGAGACCGACCGGCCAGAUUGGGACUGAGACACGGCCCAGACUCCUACGGGAGGCAGCAGUGGGGAAUCUUGCGCAAUGGGGGGAACCCUGACGCAGCGACGCCGCGUGCGGGACGGAGGCCUUCGGGUCGUAAACCGCUUUCAGCAGGGAAGAGUCAAGACUGUACCUGCAGAAGAAGCCC